GCAGUCGCCGCGGUAAUACGAGGGGUGCAAGCGUUAUUCGGAUUGAUUGGGUGUAAAGGGUGUGCAGACGGCUUAUUAAGUCACUUGUUAAAUUCUUCGGCCUAACUGAAGGUCUGCAAGUGAUACUGAUGAGCUAGAGGGUGGAAGAGAGAAGUGGAAUUCUCGGAGUAGCGGUAAAAUGCGUAGAUCUCGAGAGGAACACCAAUGGCGAAGGCAGCUUCUUGGUCCAUUCCUGACGUUCAUACACGAAAGCGUGGGGAGCAAACAGGAUUAGAUACCCGCGUAGUCCCUGUCUCUUAUAC
rnacentral:rRNA from 1 species